UAGCAAUGGCUUUUCCAGAAGCGUGUAUGACUCUGCAAAUGUCGAUUCCAGCAGUUGUGCAGAACAAUGACAAAGCACCCUUCAGGUAAUGUUUUGAAUCUCAAUUUCAAUUUCUGCUUUCUAGCGUCACUUUUCCCAUUCUUUGUAUCUCUGAAACCUAAUUACUAUCCUUUACUCCUUUUCACCAAUUCGGCAACUUCAGAGAUGCCGUAUUUGAAAGCUUUUUUUCCCCAAAACACCAUUAUUUUUCACUAUAUAUACCGUGUAUUUUUUCACUAGGGUUGAGUUCGUGUUGUAGGGUUGUAAGCAUGUGUUAAUUUCAUUGCUCUUUAUUUUUGCCUUUCUAAUAUAUAUUUUUUUUUGUUCAUCUUAUUUCUCAUUUUUUUGCUUUUUGUUCAUCUUAUCCAACUUAUUCAAUGUGUUUGUUUUUCAUCAAUACUAUUAGUUCAAAAAUGGCAACCAGUUCCUCCAUGCAUAACAGGCGCUGCAACUCUGUUCAGGUUGUAUUCAUUACUGUUUUUGUUCUCUGUUUUUUUAUCAAAGUUGCAAACUUUGAUCUUCUCUACCAUCCUUUCAUUUUUUGGUUUGUCAAUAUGUUUUCUCAUGCUUUAUUUUCAUGAUUUUUUGGUCAUUGGUUCUCUUUUUUUGAUAAAAAAAAGCUUUCUUUCUAACAUGCAAAAGCUUUCUUAAAUUUAUGUUUGUUUUGGUUCUCUGCUUUUUUUUAUCAAAGUUGCAAACUUUGAUCUUCUCUGCCAUCCUUUCAUGCUUUUUCUAAAUUUUAUUGGUCUUUGGUUCUCUAUUUCUGAUCAAAGGUAAUUUCUUUUUAAAUUUGAAUUUUCCAUUGUUAUUGUUUUUUACUUUUAUUAGACUUUAUUGUGUAGGCUGCAUUUGAAGAAGUGUUUGAAUAUCAGUUUGAAGAACACGUUGCUGCUUAAUGUUUAGCAUGCAUUUGAAGAUCAAUGUGUAAUUUGAAGAUCAAUGUGUAGGAUCAAAGAACUUAUGUAGGAUUGAUACAAGGAUGAAACAAUUCUGUAAUUGUUUAAAGUCAUAUUUUGUAUACUCUGAUGAAAGAAGUCUAUAUCAAUGUAAAAUCAAUUUCUUUGAUUGUGUAAAAAGACAUUUUGCAUACAAGGUCAUUUCCUUUAUUUUGUGUAUAGAUAUGAAUAUUUUGAGAUUGUUUGAAAAC
rnacentral:lncRNA from 1 species